rnacentral:rRNA from 1 species
UACGAAGGAGCGUAGCGUUGUUCGGAAUCACUGGGCGUAAGGCGCACGUAGGCGGUAUGUGUCAGUACAGGGGUGAAAUCCCGGAGCUCAACUUCGGAACUGACCUUUGACUACAGCACAUCAUGGAGUCCGGGAAGAGGUGGGUGGAAUUCCUAGUGGUAGAAGGUGAAAUUCGUAGAUAUUAGGAAGGAACACCGGUGGCGAAGGCGGCCCACUGGGUCCGGUACUGACGCUGAGGUGCGAAAGCGUGGGGAGCAAACAGG